rnacentral:rRNA from 1 species
AGAGUUUGAUCCUGGCUCAGGAUGAACGCUAGCGGCAGGCUUAAUACAUGCAAGUCGUGGGGCAGCAGGUUUGUAGCAAUACAGAUGCUGGCGACCGGCAAACGGGUGCGGAACACGUACACAACCUUCCUUUAAGUGGGGAAUAGCCCAGAGAAAUUUGGAUUAAUACCCCGUAACAUUAUGAUGUGGCAUCACAUUAUAAUUAUAGCUCCGGCGCUUAAUGAUGGGUGUGCGGCUGAUUAGGUAGUUGGCGGGGUAACGGCCCACCAAGCCUGCGAUCAGUAACUGGUGUGAGAGCACGACCAGUCACACGGGCACUGAGACACGGGCCCGACUCCUACGGGAGGCAGCAGUAAGGAAUAUUGGGCAAUGGAGGCAACUCUGACCCAGCCAUGCCGCGUGGAGGAUGAAGGUCCUCUGGAUUGUAAACUUCUUUUAUAUGGGACGAAAAAGGGCCUUUCUAGGUCAACUGACGGUACCAUAUGAAUAAGCACCGGCUAACUCCGUGCCAGCAGCCGCGGUAAUACGGAGGGUGCAAGCGUUAUCCGGAUUCACUGGGUUUAAAGGGUGCGUAGGUGGGUUGGUAAGUCAGUGGUGAAAUCCCCGAGCUUAACUUGGGAACUGCCAUUGAUACUAUCAGUCUUGAAUAUUGUGGAGGUCAGCGGAAUAUGUCAUGUAGCGGUGAAAUGCUUAGAUAUGACAUAGAACACCAAUUGCGAAGGCAGCUGGCUACGCAUAUAUUGACACUGAGGCACGAAAGCGUGGGGAUCAAACAGGAUUAGAUACCCUGGUAGUCC